rnacentral:rRNA from 1 species
UGCUAGUCGUACGAGUUCACACUCGUGGCGCAUAGCUCAGUAACACGUGGCCAAUCUACCCUUCAGCGGCGGACAUCCUCGGGAAACUGAGGCUAAUCCGCCAUACACCUCUCACGUUGGAAUACCGAGAGGCCGAAACGCUCAGGCGCUGAAGGAUGAGGCUGCGGCCGAUUAGGUAGACGGUGGGGUAACGGCCCACCGUGCCCAUAAUCGGUACGGGUCGUGAGAGCGAGAGCCCGGAGACGGAAUCUGGGACAAGAUUCCGGGCCCUACGGGGCGCAGCAGGCGCGAAACCUUUACACUGCACGCCAGUGCGAUAAGGGGACUCCAAGUGCGAGGGCAUAUCGUCCUCGCUAUCCUGUACUGUAGGGUAGUACAGUAUCAAGAGCUGGCAAGACCGGUGCCAGCCGCCGCGGUAAUACCGGCAGCUCAAGUGAUGGCCAAUCUUAUUGGGCCUAAAGCGUCCGUAGCUGGCCCUGCAAGUCCGUCGGGAAAUCCAUCAGCCCAACUGAUGGGCGUCCGGCGGAAACUUCAGGGCUUGGGACCGGAAGGCUCGAGGGGUACGUCCGGGGUAGGAGUGAAAUCCCGUAAUCCCGAACGGACCACCGAUGGCGAAAGCACCUCGAGAAGACGGCUCCGACAGUGAGGGACGAAAGCUAGGGUCUCGAACCGGAUUAGAUACCCGGGUAGUCCUAGCCGUAAACGAUGUUCGCUAGGUGUGGCACUGGCUAC